UCUCCGUUGGUGAACCAGCGGAGGGAUCAUUACCGAGUUUACAACUCCCAAACCCCUGUGAACAUAACAUUUGUUGCCUCGGCGGUGCCUGCUUCGGCAGCCCGCCAGAGGACCCAAACCCUUGAUUUUAUACAGUAUCUUCUGAGUAAAUGAUUAAAUAAAUCAAAACUUUCAACAACGGAUCUCUUGGUUCUG
rnacentral:misc_RNA from 1 species